rnacentral:lncRNA from 1 species
UGUGUAGACAAGUGUGCACGGCGCAUUGUGGUAUGUUCAUGUUUCCAAGAUGCGUUUUGGUCGAUUAUUGAAGGAACCACAACACAAGUUUCGCUUUGUGGCCUUUUUGAGUAUAGCAGAACGCGUUGUGGUUGGGUCAGAGGGGUCGGAGCGCGAUGUGGUCGUUUUUUUUGCUCAAAGAGCGUUUUCGGUUGUUGAGUCUAACAUAUGCAUUGCAGCAUUGCUAUUAGUCAGCAAGCAAAGCCUUUUAACAAUAUGCUAUAAUCACUAGUGUGAUUCACCCAUUUCUAAAUUACCACCACCUU